UACGUAGGCAGCGAGCGUUGUUCGGAGUUACUGGGCGUAAAGGGUGUGUAGGCGGUUUUCUAAGUUUGGUGUGAAAUCUCCCGGCUCAACCGGGAGGGUGCGCCGAAAACUGGGAGACUAGAGUGCGGGAUGGGAGAGUAGAAUUCCUGGUGUAGCGGUGAAAUGCGUAGAUAUCAGGAGGAAUACCGGUGGUGUAGACGGCUCUCUGGACCGCCACUGACGCUGAGACACGAAACGUGGGGUAGCAAACAGG
rnacentral:rRNA from 1 species